GACGAACGCUGGCGGCGUGCCUAACACAUGCAAGUCGAACGAAGAAAUAGGAGCUUGCUGCUGUGGGUUAGGGACGAACGGGUGAGUAACACUUGAGUAAGCUGCCCCUGACGGCGGAAUAUCUUCGGAACACUUGAGCUAAUAGCGGGUAUGAGCCGAAGAGGCAUGUGUGUCGGUGGGAAAGAAUGUCGGUUAGGGAUGAGCUCGCGGCCUAUCAGGUUGUUGGUGAGGUGAUGGCUGACCAAGGCGACGACGGGUGGCCGGCCUGAGAGGGUGACCGGCCACAUUGGGACUGAGACACGGCCCAGACUCCUACGGGAGGCAGCAGUGGGGAAUAUUGCACAAUGGGCGCAAGCCUGAUGCAGCAACGCCGCGUGAGGGAUGACGGCCUUCGGGUUGUAAACCUCUUUUAGCAGGGAAGAAGCGAAAGUGACGGUACCUGCAGAAAAAGCGCCGGCUAACUACGUG
rnacentral:rRNA from 1 species